GGGGAUGCCAGGCAUCGACAAGGAAUAUUUUUCAGUUGUGCAGGUGAAGCUGGAGUAACUUCUUAAACUGCUCCACACCGAUACAUGCAAACGCAUUAUCGAAAGUGAAAGCUGGUUUUGCGGCACUGUUCGCACAGCCUGCUUACGCUGUAGCCUAAUUUUUUAGACUACCAUCUCGGCAGAGACUGCCUGACUAUUUGCCAGAGGUGUUAUAUCGUCAGGAUAAGAUAUGGCGCAUGCUCGGCGCCAUGUACGAAAAUCAAGAGCUCGAGGGACUGCGAUUUGGUUUGUUUUUAACGCAGUGUCUUUAAAACACAAAGCACACUAAACUUGUAGAUUCAUCUGAAAACCUUUCUUGCACGGCGGUUCGACUCCGCCCAUN
rfam:Candidatus Kaiserbacteria bacterium RIFCSPLOWO2_01_FTLL_51_21 rifcsplowo2_01_scaffold_4178, whole genome shotgun sequence.